GACGAACGCUGGCGGCGUGCUUAACACAUGCAAGUCGAACGGGAUGAUUUAGAAGCUUGCUUUUAGAGAAUCUAGUGGCAAACGGGUGAGUAACACGUAGGCAACCUGCCGACAGGAUGGGGACAACAUUCCGAAAGGAAUGCUAAUACCGAAUGAAGCGCAGGAGAGGCAUCUCUCCUGCGUGAAAGAUGGCCUCUAUUUAUAAGCUACCACCUGUCGAUGGGCCUGCGUCUGAUUAGCUGGUUGGUGAGGUAACGGCCCACCAAGGCGACGUUGAGUAGCCGGUCUGAGAGGAUGAACGGCCACAUUGGGACUGAGACACGGCCCAGACUCCUACGGGAGGCAGCAGUGGGGAAUCUUCCGCAAUGGGCGCAAGCCUGACGGAGCAACGCCGCGUGAGUGAAGAAGGUCUUCGGAUCGUAAAGCUCUGUUGAUGGGGACGAACGUGCGAAGGGUGAAUAAACCUUUGUAAUGACGGUACCUGUCGAGGAAGCCACGGCUAACUACGUG
rnacentral:rRNA from 1 species